GGAAAACAGGGCUGCUUCCAAGGGGUCCCCAACCCCCAUACACUGUGCCCCAACGCCCUGGCACUGCCUCUUCCUUGGCUGCUUGCAGACAGGGCCAAGGAGAGCUGGAGGUGGGCUGUAAAACGGGCAGGGCUGGAGCUUGGAAGAGGUGUCCUGGGAAGGGCUCCCCAGGUGCAGCCCCUCCCCCAGAGUGGGCCAGGGCCAGCUGGGAGGCCCAGCCCAGGCCCAGAGGGGAGAAGGAGGAGCAGAGGGGGAAGGCUCCGAGGUCACGGGGAGGGAUGUGUGGGCUGGGCUGGAACAGCUGUGGCGCUGUGGCACCAGGAGUGGGGCUUGGAGAGGGCUGGGUGGGUGGGCAGAAGGAAACGGCCAGUUUCUCCUUCCCUGAGCUUGGGAACUGAGGAAGCCCCUGGGGGGGCAGGGUGUCUCCUGCGGGUCUCUAGCAUCAGCUCGGCCCCAGCUUCCCUGCCCCAGCUUCCCUCGGGGCUGGAAGACCCUCAGGAAGGCUGCCUCGAAAGCCCACAGCUCGGGCCCUGGCCCUGGCCUAGACGGAGAGCCACGAGAGCCCAGGCCUUGGCCAGGUCCCCGGCUGGCCUGGCUGCCCCCUCAGUGUCAAGCGUUCCCUUCAGAGCCAAGAUCCUGGGCUGUGAUGGCUGGGGGCCCAGGGCUCCUCCCAGGAUCCCUUCCCGCUUCCCAGGCCCCAGGGCAGGGCCAGGAUCCCUGCCACCAUCACUGCCCCGGGGGGCCAGGCCAGGCGGGCCCUCCUGGACAGGCGGACGGGCAGCAUGCUGCCCUGCUGUGGCCCGAGGACCGGACCCGCCAGGGCAGUGUGCCAGGGCCUCCAGGUGCCAGCCUAGAUUCCAGCCCCAAUCCAGGGGGCCUGCGGGAAGCGGGGUGCCGGCAUCUCCCUCCCUCGGGAUGCACCUGCCUCACCCCUCCCCCACUCCUCCAGACCCUCCUGCGGGCCGCCGGGUCCCCUGCCCCCUUCACUUGGCCGGGUUCUUCUGCUUCCACGCAGACAGCAGUGGACGGACAAGUGCCAGCCCGGCCUCCGGCUCCCGGUCCUGA
rnacentral:lncRNA from 1 species